rnacentral:rRNA from 1 species
CAGUCGCCACGGGAAUACGGAGGGUGCAAGCGUUAUCCGGAUUUAUUGGGUUUAAAGGGUCCGUAGGCGGAUCUGUAAGUCAGUGGUGAAAUCUCACAGCUUAACUGUGAAACUGCCAUUGAUACUGCAGGUCUUGAGUAAAUUUGAAGUGGCUGGAAUAAGUAGUGUAGCGGUGAAAUGCAUAGAUAUUACUUAGAACACCAAUUGCGAAGGCAGGUCACUAAGAUUUAACUGACGCUGAUGGACGAAAGCGUGGGGAGCGAACAGGAUUAGAGACCCCUGUAGUCCCUGUCUCUUAUAC